UGGUCAAGUCGCAGCUGUGACAUCAGGACGUAGUCGUCCCAUCUCUCCUUCCAGAGGUAGAAGGCGUCACUGCGGUCGGUGGAGAUGUCCAGUCGGUCAGGCCGGAUCGGCUGCAGGCUCGUCAUACCACAGCGAUUACGAAGGACUGUUCUAGAAGCCCUCCACGCCAGCCACCUGGGGAAGGAGAAGACGAAGGCCCGCGCAAGACAGAUCGUCUACUGGCCCGGGAUCUACCGGGAUGUGGAAAAUGUCACCCGCUGCUGUACCAGCUGCCAGAGAGAUCUACCCGUUCAGCAGCAAGAGACCAUGAUGAGGAGACCGCCAGCGGAAAGGCCGUUCGAACUACACAUCGACUUUGCCGAUCACGCCGGCAGGAAGUACCUCGUGAGUCGUGGCAGUGGACAGAUACUCCGGGUGUCUGUUUGUCGCCGACCUCGGUGUAAGCGCCCCCGCUUACACCGGUCCGAAGGACGAUAGCAGGCGUCAUGACGAGCGCACUCGCUACGCGACUAAGCGUAAAUGGACGGCACGGGAAAAGGGCUUUCGGCGGUACCCGGCUUUUUGAUGUCGUGUUCAGAGCCGUGCGGCGGAACGGGCUUACCCAGGACACCAACAACGGCCAGCUGGAGGUGGCGCCACGAAAGUGGUUUACGGGUGCCAGGAACCGCGACGGAGGCCGCCAGGAGAGGAGACCAGCUGGAGUUUAAGCGGAGGAGCAGAUGAGAGAAGAAGUCUAGAGAUGAACAGAAGAGAGGAGAGAGUUUAAACAGCAUUUUUGUGU